CGGUUUAAUCACUGCCAAUAUGAACAGAAGACACAUUUCUUUCUCUUAUAUCCUCUAAACAAAAAAAAAAAAAACAUUUUCUCUUUCAUCAAUCCAACAAUCUUUCACAGUUAUAUUUCGACGGAAAAUUGCACCCAAAGAACGUCACUCUCUCCGGCCGCCGACGAGUACUUUCCGAUGAAUCGCCGAUGGGCAUUGAAUCAGUUUCGGAGCUAAAAUGAGGCGUUUUUUGAACCUUGACCCGUUUUCUUCCGCUUCAUAGGCGCUUUCUCCCGAUUCGCCCUGUUAGGGUUUUGAAGAAUUGAAGAGCUCGUAUUUCACAAUCGAAAAUUUAGGGGAACUUGCAGAGCUAGGGGUUUUCUCGGAUUGUUGGAGCGGUGGUUAUUGUUGUUGUUAAAGAAGGGGAAGAUUGAGAGUUUCUUUGACUUUGAUAACAUUUUGGCGUGUCAAGAAAUUUUAUUUUUGAUUUGCUAUCGUAUUUUCGAUACGUGUGGGUUGAAAGGAUAAUGUGUAUAUUGUGUUCGAUCCAGAAGUGGUCGCGGGGAGUGGCAACCAUGUUACCUUGGUUAGUGAUUCCCUUGAUUGGAUUAUGGGCUUUAUCACAGUUAUUUCCACCAGCAUUUCGGUUUGAAAUCACAUCACCUAGGCUGGCAUGUGUGCUUGUGCUUGUGAUUACUCUUGGUUGGUAUGAGGUCUUUAUGCCUAAGUUGUCAGCUUGGCGGGCGAGAAGAAAUGCUAGGCUUAGGGAAAGGAAGAGGUCUGAGGCUAUUGAAAUGCAGAAAUUAAGGAAAAUAGCAACGAGGAGGUGUAGAAAUUGUUUGACUCCAUAUAGAGAUCAGAAUCCUGGUGGUGGCAAGUUCAUGUGUUCAUAUUGUGGGCAUAUUUCUAAGAGACCCAUAUUAGACUUGCCUGUGCCGCCAGGGUUGGGUCUUUCGAAUUCAGGCAUUUUGAGAGAUUUGGUUGGGAAAGGUGGGAAGAUGUUGAAUGGAAAGGUUUGGUCUGAUAACAGGUGGAUGUGCGGGCAGGAUUGGUUAGAGAAUGGGAAUUGGGUUGGGGGGUCUUUUGUUAGCAAGUCAGAUUCUUGGAGCAAGACUGGCAGUGGAUUUCUUGGGAUGGAGCAUUGUUUAGCAGAGAAGUCAUAUUCUCGUGUUUUUGCUUUUGCCUGCAAAGCUCUGACUGCCUUUUUCUUAAGUAUCACAUGGCUGUGUAGAAAGAUUUUUAGGUUAAGUUCCUCCAGAAGCGAUGCUUCAAUUGAUGCAGGACGGAGAGCACUGAUGGAUAAAAGAGGUGAGAAUGGAGGAAAUUGUCAGGAGAGUAGAGGGGAGAAAGCUAAGAGAAAAGCUGAGGAAAAGAGGCUGGCUAGGUUGGAGAAAGAGCUAGCAGAGGAGGAGGAGCGAAAGCAAAGAGAGGAGGUUGCUAGACUGGUGGAAGAACGCAGGAGAUUGCGCGAUGAAAAGAUGGAGGCAGUGAAAGAACGGGGGCAGGGGUCUCCCUCUGCUAAAGUACGGGAUUGUAAAAGGGAAGCAGAAAAGAAGCGGCAGGAGAAGAAGAAAGAAAGAGACAGGGGAUCAAGCAAAAGUAACUCAGAUGUGGAAGAGGUGGAUAAAAGACAAGGCAAGGAGAGUGCACGAAAUAGGCAGAGUGAUGGUGAUAGAAGGAACCAACACAAAAAUGGGCCUGAAAGUAUUAAGACACAUAAUGCAGAAGUUAUACAUGGUUAUAAGGGUGGUUCUUCUAGCAGUCAUAACCAUGGAAAUGUUGGUACUCGGUACUUGGAUCGUAUGCGGGGUACUUUUUUAUCAUCUUCUAGAGCACUUACUGGAGGUGGUUUCUUUGGCAGGAAUAGUGCUACUAAUAUUCCAAGAGAGCAGAAAUCUAAUACGCUGAUAGAUCCUGUUCAUAAUGCCUCUAGGAGGGAACUAUCUCAGUCAGAUCGCAUACCUGGAAAGCUGAAUCCUAGUGGAGAUGACAGGAGUAUGAAUCGACCUGUACUUAUUGAACCUCAACCAUUUACAACUCCUAAAAAGUCUUGGCAACAGCUAUUCACUCGAUCCUCUACUGUUUCUCCCCCCUCUUCAAGUGUAAUCAGCAGACCAAGUGCAAAGCCCCAAGCAGAAAUACUGAGUCCUUCCUGUCAGACUCCAGCUGCACAAUCUUUCGACAACCCUAUUAGCUUUGGUCUCCCAUCGCCUUUCACUUUAACUUCUUUUCCUUGUGGGCCCACAAGUUGUAGUACAACUAAUCCAUCGUCUCCGAGAGCAAUACAUCCUCGAAUUGGAGAUGGGACAGGUCAGUUAUUGGCGGAAGAAUCGGAGAAUUUUGAAGAUCCUUGUUAUGUUCCAGACCCUGUGUCAUUGCUUGGACCAGUUUGUGAGUCCCUUGAUGACUUUCAACUGGAGGUUGACCUUGGCUUUGUGUCAGAUACAGGACUUGAUAGCCCAUGUAUGGUGAAAAAUGUGAAUGCGUCUUCAGAAGUGACCAGGCCUUCACCAAUUGAGUCUCCAAUAUCACGAAUGCGUGUUCCAGAGGAAAGGCAUGCUGGGUCUUUUCUUUUCCCGAACACUCCUAAUGCUCAGGACAUGCACCCUGUGCCAACGAAUGUUUCAAAUAGUUCAAAUGAUGUAGGAACGUGGCAGAUGUGGAACAGCUCUCCGCUUGGUCAAGCUGGUCUAAGCUUGAUAGGUUCUCCAACCAACUGGCGUUUGAAUACAGAUCUCAAUACAUCAAAUAUGGCUCCGACACCUCCAAGGACAAUGGCUUCACUUUUCAAGAAUGAUGAGCAACUCCACUCUGUCUGUCGUUCUACCCACACAGUUUAUACGGGAAGUUGCCAGAAUAGUGGGACACUGAGUACUGUUUUGCCUGGUAGCACUGAAAGUAGGCAUCCAAUAGUUCCUUUUGGUACAUAUGCAGGAAGUGAAAGUCGAUUUUCUCUCAAGUCUGAAGAUGCUGCUCAAAAUGAAAUGACGUACGGGAGUCCUAAUGCUACUUCUACUAAUCAUCCAUUUGCAUCAUCUCCACUUAAUUGGGCCAAAUGUGCACUUUUUGCUCCAUCCAACAAUAAUGCUUGCUGUCCUCUAUAGAUUGAAAAUCUUAUCACAUGUUAUGUAAGCUAAACAGCUAUGUGGGCCUUGCUUUUACACUUUCCUGAAGCAGCUUCUUUUCUCAUCUAUUCCUCAAACCGAACAACCCUCCAAAAAUGUGAUAGACAGUGGAACCAGCAGCUUGCAUGAGCUGCAGACUGCUGCAUUAUAUCUAAGUAAAGCUUAAUAGCUCCAUACAUGAUCUGGUCCAAGUGAUGUAGUCUUAAGUCUUGGGGAAUGAGGAAUGAGGAUUGUCCAAGUGGAGCGGAAUUGGAUAUGAGGAUUCAUAUAAAGCCAAAUCCAACUAGCUAGCUUGGGAGUGAGGCAUAGUUGUAGUAGUACAAUGAAAGCAAGCAUUAUGUUUUAAGUUUUUCAUAACAAGAAUGAUGUUGACUUGGAUUGCACAAGAAGGACUGGACUUCGCAGCGUCCGGAUGAAGCUUUUGGCAACUCACUAAAGGCUAGUGCCUCAGUUGGUGGUAUAUAUUCCACGCCAAAUGUACAGUCUUUUUGGUCUUUUGAAUAAAAAAGAAAAAGGGAAAAUGGGGAUAAGAGUACAAGGGACUUGAACACACCCUCCUGUUACUGAAGAGGAAAAUAGCCUCUUUUGGGAAGGAGAGUUUAGAAUGCUGCACUUGUUGCAUCUUCCUUCUUUUCUUUAAAAGGGGAGAGUUACAUUAGCAUUAUAGGGAUACAUGUUUCUUCCAUGCAUGGCUAUGGACCAGGUAACUAUCGAUUAUGAAACGGCUGAGUACUUCUCUUUCAUUAAUAGAGAAGGACAAUCACUGAUAUAGAUGACCAGAGCUAUUUCCACUACAUGUUACCUCAUUUUGGAUACCAACUUAGAUAUUAAAACAUAGACAAUACUUCAAUUAUACUGUGCUUCUCUGUAAGGUUCAGCGAAGUUUUUGAAGGACUAAGCACUGAAGGAAGCCUUUCGUUUUUCAUUUUUCA